rnacentral:rRNA from 1 species
GUCUUUUUGAGUUUAAUUUAAGGUCUGAUCUGCCCACUGAUAAUAUUUAAGGGCCGCAGUAUUCUGACUGUGCAAAGGUAGCAUAAUCAUUAGUCUUUUAAUUGAGGGCUUGUAUGAAUGAUUGGACGAGAUAUAAUCUGUCUCAUAAAAAUUUAAGUAGAAUUUUAUUUUUUAGUUAAAAAGCUAAAAUAAGUUUAAAAGACGAGAAGACCCUAUAGAUCUUUAUAACUUAUUUAUUAAUUUUUUUAGGUUAUUUUUUAAUUUUAUAAAUUAAAUUAUUUUGUUGGGGUGACAGUGAAAUUUAAAAAACUUUCAUAAUUUUUAUUACAUUGAUUUAUGAAAAAUUGAUCCAUUUUUAAUGAUUAAAAAUUUAAGUUACCUUAGGGAUAACAGCGUAAUUAUUUUGGAGAGUUCUUAUCGAUAAAAUAGUUUGCGACCUCGAUGUUGGAUUAAGAUUAAUUCUGGGUGUAGCAGUUCAGGUUAUUAAGUCUGUUCGACUUUUAAUUUCUU